GAUCUUGAAAGCCAUGAUUCCUCUGAUUUAAAAGUUUGAUACAUGCCACGUGUGGAAAGCACAAAGUUAGUUGGAAAAGAAAAAUGAAAAGGAAGGGGGAUGGGGGGUACUACACAUUCACGCACAUAAUCAAAUAUCAAUGUGAUGGCAUGCCACAAGUGAUAUUGACAGCAGUAUUCUUUUGUUCUCUCUGGACGUGGCAGUGAUGGUUGUAAUGUAAGCCACAGGCCUUUGCAAAUAGAAAGGGAAAGGAAUGCUUCAAAUCAAAAUUAUGCACAAGAUAUUCACAUCAUUCAUCUAAGAAAACUUCGCUUAAACAAGUGAACAAAUGAUCAAAAUUGCAGAUUGUAUUUUACACUGAUCAAAGGGUUUACAAUUACCAGCUUAUACCUUACAUGUCAGUGUUCCUUUCAAAAAAAUUAUAUAUCAAGCUUAAUCUGAUUUGUUCAAAUUUGGUCCAAAAAAAAUAACUUUCCAUUGAAUUUGUUCAUUACAAUAGAAAUUAACAUUUUGAUGAAACUAAGAACAUAUUUUGAUUGAUUUUAUCAAAUAAAGCAUGGGAGUCUAUAAUGUUUAUUGUUUAUAAAUUUGUUGGAAUAUCAUGGAUACUCUAGGGUAGACCUGGCCACAACUACGGGAUCAUACCAGGUCAACGGUUCCAGUCCUUGAACAGGACCAGAAACAGUCUAGGGGAACCAGUUAUGGUUCCCCUUCACCCAAACCGAAACCAGAAUCAGCCUGUUUGAACCGAUGUCAAUCUUCCCGAUUUAAAAGUUUUCAAUUUUUUUUAAUAAUUUUCCUAGAUUAUAUAGAUGAUUUUGGGCAUCUUUAAUUCUAUGGCCAUUAUCAAAUAAGGUACACAAUAAUUUUUAUGAAUAUUUAAAGUUAAUUAGCACAUUUAGAUUUUUAAGUUCAAUUUUAAAUUUUUAAAAUUCUAUUUUUUUUAAAACAUUUUUCCUAAAUUAUGCAGAUGAUUUUGAACAUCUUUAAUUCUUGAACCAUUCUCAAAUAAGGCUCACAAUAAUUCCUAUGAAUUUUUGAAGUUAACUAACAUAUUUUAUAUUUUUAGGUUCAAUUUGAAAUUUUUAAAAUUAUAAUUUUUUAACAUUUUUCCUUGAUUAUAU
rnacentral:misc_RNA from 1 species